rnacentral:rRNA from 1 species
UACGUAGGGUGCAAGCGUUAAUCGGAAUUACUGGGCGUAAAGCGUGCGCAGGCGGUUGUGCAAGACCGAUGUGAAAUCCCCGGGCUUAACCUGGGAAUGGCAUUGGUGACUGUACGGCUAGAGUGUGUCAGAGGGGGGUAGAAUUCCACGUGUAGCAGUGAAAUGCGUAGAGAUGUGGAGGAAUACCGAUGGCGAAGGCGGGUUGCUGGGCUGACACUGACGCUGAUGCGCGAAAGCCAGGGGAGCGAACGGG